CUAAUUAUCUCUUCACUUUUAUGAUUGAGUGUGUGUAAUUCCCCGACGUUGCAAAACAUUGUAAAACUAGGAAAAAAUUUCAGUCGAUGACGACAUUGUUAGAAGGACAUAUGUUCGUAAAAUGUACAUAGAGCAGACGCCUUCAGUAGAUAGGCCAGGACAUUGGGAACAAAAGAAAGGAAAUGACGCAAAUCGAUUACAAUCAAAAGAUUAAAAACUGAUCUUUCUUUUCUCUGUGUCUCUAAGCUCAUUAAUUCCUGGAAAUUCAAAUAAAGAUAUGUGUGCCCGUCAAGGAAAGUUCAAAUGGAUCAGGCCAGCAAUCCUUUCAUUUGUAUGCGACUAUACCGAACGGGACGCCGGGAUCCAAUUGCGGAUCGGUGCGCACGCCACUUUUCUUGUCUAAUGUUCUGCUGCCACCUGAUCCGCGCAUUUGCCUUCAAGUAAAGGUGACACGCGAUCACCCAGUAAAGUUGUAUGGGAAAUCGAAUAUUACAAAAGUUUCCUUUCUUUAAGAUGGCUCGGUCGGCCGGUUGGAGAAGACCAGUCAAGUCGAGUUCGAUUUGGUUGGAUUUGGUUGGAACUGGUUUGUACUGGGUCGGCGCGGAUAUUUUGUUCCAGCUGGGUAGUAUAACUAUUGGUUGGCCUGACUGCUGGGUAAAACCACCUCCACCAAGAGCCAAACAAGAGGCAACAACUUCUUCACCAACCAGCUGAUUUGGUGUACGAGGGGAACGAAAAUCUAGACCGCAUCCAUCCCCCCGGCAUUGAUACUCGGUUUCUUUUCUUCUUUUUUUCUUUUCCAGUCCAAAGGUCAAACCCCCCUCCAUUCUUUUAUUUUCUUCUUCUUCUUCUUCACCCUCUAUUUAUAUUGUGUAUAUACUUGUCUCUCUUCUUCAUCUCCCCUUCUAAAGCAACACCCUCCGGAAUCCAUCCAUCCGGAGACCAUCUUGAGCGUUUUACUGCCCCUUCGGACGACUCGGAAAACUGAGCUGGGGCAAAGAAACGUAUUCAUGUAAACAUCAAUUUAAAAAUGAUAUUAUUCAUUUUACCUGGUUCUGUUAUUUGGAAAAACGCUUCGAAAUUAACCUUUUGAAAAAACGUCACCAACUUAUGUAUCGAUUCUUUCAAAUUUUCAAAUCAUCUAUACAUAAAAAAUAACAUCAAUGAAUCAGAUGAGAAGCCGUCAGAUUAAUAAGCUUUCUUUUUUCUUUCCUUUUUUAGUCUCCUCCGGAGUCCUAAUUUCUUUUUCUCUCAACGGAAUUUCCUUUGUUUCCAAUGCGCCGAUCAUUCCGGUUUUCUCCAGUCGGCUGUUUUUCUUUCUUCUCUUUGAUAUCAACAACAAAAUAAAAAUCCUGGGAGGCCGACGAGACACACGAACCAUCGACGUUAUUCUUAAAUAUAAUUAUCUCUGGUAUCCUUGCUCGACUGCUGUCUAUACGUCGAGACAGAAUAGCGUGAUCAGACAAUGCCCUUGAUUUCCAUAGAGGAUUUUUUAAAUGUCAAUUCAACCAGUCAAAAAAAUGGGUGAGAUCACGGGACUUGGCGAUGAUCCUUCUGUGUUAGUCUUUUGUAUUUUGAAUACUGAAAAAUUCGAGUCAAGGUGACGGCGACCUCGAAAGAACAAACUUGUGGCUACGCUCCAUACACAAGGCAACCAACCGCCCGAAUCUUUCCUCAAGAGUUUAUUUUCUUUUUAGUUUCCUCUCCGUGUGCUUCGGAUUUUUCCUCCUGUCAAAAUUACACUUUCAAAUCUA
rnacentral:lncRNA from 1 species